rnacentral:rRNA from 1 species
UACAGAGGGGGGCAAGCGUUGUUCGGAAUUACUGGGCGUAAAGGGCGCGUAGGCGGCCUUCUAAGUCGAACGUGAAAUCCCCGGGCUCAACCCGGGAACUGCGUCCGAUACUGGAAGGCUUGAAUCCGGGAGAGGGAUGUGGAAUUCCAGGUGUAGCGGUGAAAUGCGUAGAUAUCAGGAGGAACACCAAUGGCGAAGGCAGCUCGCUGGGACGGUACUGACGCUGGAGGAGCGAAAGCGUGGGGAGCGAACAGG